rnacentral:rRNA from 1 species
GAUGAACGCUGGCGGCGUGCCUAAUACAUGCAAGUCGAGCGAACGGACGAGAAGCUUGCUUCUCUGAUGUUAGCGGCGGACGGGUGAGUAACACGUGGAUAACCUACCUAUAAGACUGGGAUAACUUCGGGAAACCGGAGCUAAUACCGGAUAAUAUUUUGAACCGCAUGGUUCAAAAGUGAAAGACGGUCUUGCUGUCACUUAUAGAUGGAUCCGCGCUGCAUUAGCUAGUUGGUAAGGUAACGGCUUACCAAGGCAACGAUGCAUAGCCGACCUGAGAGGGUGAUCGGCCACCCUGGAACUGGGACACGGUCCAGACUCCUACGGGGGGCAGCAGUCGGGAAUCUUCCGCGAUGGGCGAAAGCCUGACGGAGCAACGCCGCGUGAGUGAUGAAGGUCUUCGGAUCGUACAACUCUGUUAUUAGGGAAGAACAUAUGUGUAAGUAACUGUGCACAUCUUGGCGGUACCUAAUCAGAAAGCCACGGCUAACUACGUG